UAAAAGUUUAGGGGCAAAAUUGUAAUUUUGAAAAAGUUAGAGUCGAGGGCUGUUUUGAUGAAUGUGAUUAUUAAAUAAGUUAAAUUUACUAUUUUAGAUCAAGAAGUACGAAACUCGAGGUUAGACAAAGGGAAGAAUAAAGUUGAAGACUAAGUUGGUGAAUUUGGCUAUAAUUGGUACCGAGGUAAGUUUACGGUAAAUAAAUGCAAUAUUUCAAUAUUUAUUAUCAAUGCUGUUAUUUUCCAGCAACUAUGAAUUUAUUUGAUGAUGAUCUAAGCAUGAAAUGAUAGAGAAUUAAAAUUAAAAAGUCUCGUUGAUACAUAAGGAUGGUACUGGAUACGAAUGUCAUGACAUUUGGGUAAAGAGGUCCCAUGUAAGACCAUGUCUGGGACAUGGCAUUGGCACCGAGAUGAGAGGUCCCAUGUAAGACCAUGUCUGGGACAUGGCAUUGGCACCGAGAUGAGAGGUCCCAUGUAAGACCAUGUCUGGGACAUGGUCCCAUGUAAGACCAUGUCUGGGACAUGGCGUUGGCACCGAGAUGAGAGGUCCCCCGUAAGACCAUGUCUGGGACAUGGCUUUGGCAUGUUAUUAUCAGAAGAGACCCGAGUAUCCUUAUUAUUCCAAUGUAGCUCAACGG
rnacentral:lncRNA from 1 species